UGGAACAAAAGGUCCUGAGCUCUGGCAGA
rnacentral:sRNA from 1 species